AGUGAACGCUGGCGGUAGGCCUAACACAUGCAAGUCGAACAGCAGCACAGUAAGAGCUUGCUCUUACGGGUGGCGAGUGGCGGACGGGCGAGGAAUACAUCGGAAUCUACUUUUUCGUGGGGGAUAACGUAGGGAAACUUACGCUAAUACCGCAUACGACCUACGGGUGAAAGCAGGGGAUCUUUGGACCUUGCGCGAUUGAAUGCGCCGAUGUCGGAUUAGCUAGUUGGCGGGGUAAAGGCCCACCAAGGCGACGAUCCGUAGCUGGUCUGAGAGGAUGAUCAGCCACACUGGAACUGAGACACGGUCCAGACUCCUACGGGAGGAAGCAGUGGGGAAUAUUGGACAAUGGGCGCAAGCCUGAUCCAGCCAUACCGCGUGGGUGAAGAAGGCCUUCGGGUUGUAAAGCCCUUUUGUUGGGAAAGAAAAGCAGCAGGUUAAUACCCCGCUGUUCUGACGGUACCCAAAGAAUAAGCACCGGCUAACUUCGUG
rnacentral:rRNA from 1 species